rfam:Massilia sp. KIM NODE_1_length_3374390_cov_141.183_ID_1041, whole genome shotgun sequence.
GGGGGCGACCUGGUUUCGACGUGGGUUGCAAAGCAGCGCAGGGCAUACCGAGGACUGGUUACCUCGUAAAUACAUCCAGAAAUCAAUAACUGCAAACGAUAACUCGUACGCACUCGCAGCUUAAUUGCUGCUAGCUCCACACCACCUCGCCCCUGGGGUGUACCGCAAGGUUCGUGGAGUCAUUUACAGGGGCUCGGGUUUGGCCGGGUUACUUGGUCACUCCCUAAAUAAUAGGUAACUCGCUUAGUCAAAGGGUGCACAUCCCCGUUGCCUAAGUUAAAUUAAUUGAUAGUGCUAAGUAUGUAGAACUGUCUGUAGAGUGCUUGCGGACGCGGGUUCAAUUCCCGCCGCCUCCACCA